rnacentral:snRNA from 1 species
GGAUGUGAAGGCGAUCUGGCUGCGACAUCUGUCACCCCAUUGAUCGCCAGGGUUGAUUCGGCUAAUCUGGCUGGCUAGGCGGGUGUCCCCUUCCUCCCUCACCGCUCCAUGUGCGUCCCUCCCGAAGCUGUGCGCUCAAAGAGGACGACCUUCCCCGCUAGAGGAGGACCGGUCUUCGGUCAAGGGUAUACGAGUAGCUGUGCUCCCCUGCUAGAACCUCUAAACAAGCUCUCAAAUAAAAUACAUAAAUCUUAAAAAAAAAAAAAAAAAACAAAACACACAACCUGUGGGAUUCCAAAGUCUGGAUUGUGCCUACA